AUUGAACGCUGGCGGCAGGCCUAACACAUGCAAGUCGAGCGAGCGGCGGACGGGUGAGUAAUGUCUGGGAAACUGCCUGAUGGAGGGGGCUAACUACUGGAACCGGUAGCUAAUACCGCAUACCAUCAGAUUUGCACAGAUGGGAGUAGCUAGUAGGUGGGGUAAUGGCGCACCUAGGCGACGAUCCCUAGCUGGUCUGAGAGGAUGACCAGCCACACUGGAACUGAGACACGGUCCAGACUCCGACGGGAGGCAGCAGUGGGGAAUAGUGUACAAUGGGCGCAAGCCUGAUGCAGCCAUGCCGCGUGUAUGAAGAAGGCCUUCGGGUUGUAAAGUACUUUCAGCGAGGAGGCGUUACUCGCAGAAGAAGCACCGGCUAACUCCGUGCCAGCAGCCGCGGUAAUAC
rnacentral:rRNA from 1 species